GGGGGGUUUAGUUUCCUGGUGGACAACGGUGCAAGGUAGGGGGGUUUAGUUUCCUGGUGGACAACGGUGCAAGGCAGGGGGGUUUAGUUUCCUGGUGGACAACGAUGCAAGGCAGGGGAGUUUAGUUUCCUGGUGGACAACGGUGCAAGGUAGGGUGGUUUAGUUUCCUGGUGGACAACGAUGCAAGGCAGGGGGGGUUUAGUUUCCUGGUGGACAACGAUGCAAGGCAGGGUGGUUUAGUUUCCUGGUGGACAACGAUGCAAGGCAGGGGGGUUUAGUUUCCUGGUGGACAACGAUGCAAGGCUGGGGGGGUUUAGUUUCCUGGUGGACAACGGUGCAAGGCUGGGUGGUUUAGUUUCCUGGUGGACAACGAUGCAAGGCAGGGGGGUUUAGUUUCCUUGUGGACAACGGUGCAAGGCAGGGUGGUUUAGUUUCCUGGUGGACAACGGUGCAAGGCAGAGUGAUUUACUGUCGCUGGCGGAAGGCUGGAAACCCCUACCCUUCCCUUGAAGUGACAUGCUGAGGGAGAGGAAAGUUUCCAUUAACCGUUAGACACCACAGAGGAUGGCAGGCAUUAGAGAGAAAGGGGGGAGAGGGACAGAGAGAGAAGAAGAGAGGAAGAUAUGCCAGUGCUGAAAAGCAGAGAAACUAAAUCUGACAUGUUGAAAGAUAUGCCAAUGCCCUGUACUUGUCUUGCCCUUUGACAAGGUCCCUAUAUUCCUAUAACCAUUAACCUGUAAACAUCAGGUCUGGAUCAAUGUGUGGUGAUCCUUUUAACCAAACCCAUAUUAUCCAUUUAACCUAACCCAGAUUAUCAGGUUAAACCUAAUCCAGAUGAUCAGGUUAAACCUAAAUCAUAUUAUCAGGUUAAACCUAAUCCAGAUUAUCAGGUUAAACCUAAUCCAGAUUAGUUAAACCAUAACCAGUGAGAAGAUCCUCCUUGUCCGUAAUCCAUGCACCAGUUUAGACCUGGUUGGGAAUUAGAAAUACAUUCACAGUAUUUAUCCUGCAGUAGUUUAUGUGUCGGGGGGCUAGUGUCAGUCUGUUAUUUCUGCAGUAUUUCUCUUGUCUUUUCCGGUGUCCUGUGUGAAUUUAUGUAUGCUCUCUCUAAUUCUCUUUCUUUCUUUCUUUCUUUCUUUCUUUCUUUCUUUCUUUCUUUCUUUCUUUCUUUCUUUCUUUCUUUCUUUCUUUCUUUCUUUCUUUCUUUCUUUCUUUCUUUCUUUCUUUCUUUCUUUCUGAGCCCUAGGACCAUGCUUUAGGACUACCUGGCCUGAUGACUCCUUGCUGUCCCCAGUCCACCUGGCCGUGCUGCUGCUCCAGUUUCAACUGUUCUGCCUGCGGCUAUGGUACCCUGACAUGUUCACCGGAUGUGCUAUCUGUCCCAGACCUGCUGUUUUCAACUCUCUAGAGACAGCAGGAGCGGUAGAGAUACUCUGAAUGAUCGGCUAUGAAAAGCCAACUGACAAUUACUCCUGAGGUGCUGACCUAUUGCACCCUCGACAACCACUGUGAUUAUUAUUAUUUGACCCUGCUGGUCAUCUAUGAACAUUUGAACAUCUUGGCCAUGUUCUGUUAUAAUCUCCAUCCGGCACAGCCAGAAGAGGAUUGGCCACCCCUCAUAACCUGGUUCCUCUCUAGGUUUCUUCCUAGGUUCUGGCCUUUCUAGGGAGUUUUUCCUAGCCACCGUGCUUCUACACCUGCAUUGCUUGCUGUUUGGGGUUUUAGGCUGGGUUUCUGUACAGCACUUUGAGAUAUCAGCUGAUGUAAGAAGGGCUUUAUAAAUCAAUUAGAUUAAAAAAAAUAUAUUCCAGGAAUAGUGGAAAGAAAAUGAAAGCAUUGGAAAACAGUUAGUUCAACAUUGGUCAUCCUAGAAAUUAGGUUUUUUAGUUUUCAGGCCUAUUACCCUCCCUUGUUUAGUGGCCUUUGGUUCAAGGCUUGGCAUUUAUCCUCUGAGCAAAAAUACACUUGAUCUGAUUGUGUUCUGACUGUAUCAGUGAUUCAGUUAGUCGUUUAUGGGACCAUUUCAUGAUGUCACUAGUUAAUUGCUCAAAGGAAAACACCUUCGCCACCAAUUAAAUUGUGUAAUUUCCUGUUUUCACCAAUCAACUCCAUCUAUUCCAUUUAUCCUGACCAAUCACUGAGGUCACUGACAGUCACCAGGAAGUGAAUUGCA
rnacentral:lncRNA from 1 species